GACCCAGGGAUUGGCCUCAGUAGCGGCGAGUGAAGCGGCAAGAGCUCAGAUUUGAAAUCGUGCUUUGCGGCACGAGUUGUAGAUUGCAGGUUGGAGUCUGUGUGGAAGGCGGUGUCCAAGUCCCUUGGAACAGGGCGCCCAGGAGGGUGAGAGCCCCGUGGGAUGCCGGCGGAAGCAGUGAGGCCCUUCUGACGAGUCGAGUUGUUUGGGAAU
rnacentral:rRNA from 1 species